rnacentral:rRNA from 1 species
GACGAACGCUGGCGGCGUGCUUAACACAUGCAAGUCGAACGGUGAAGCGCCUUCCUUUUUGGUGGGUGUGGAUGAGUGGCGAACGGGUGAGUAACACGUGAGUAACCUGCCCCCUUCUUCUGGAUAACCGCAUGAAAGUGUGGCUAAUACGGGAUAUUCUGGGUCUGUCGCAUGAUGGGUCUGGGAAAGAUCUUGUUUCGGUGGGGGAUGGGCUCGCGGCCUAUCAGCUUGUUGGUGGGGUGAUGGCCUACCAAGGCGGUGACGGGUAGCCGGCCUGAGAGGGUGGACGGUCACACUGGGACUGAGACACGGCCCAGACUACUACGGGAGGCAGCAGUGGGGAAUAUUGCACAAUGGGCGCAAGCCUGAUGCAGCGACGCCGCGUGAGGGAUGGAGGCCUUCGGGUUGUGAACCUCUUUCGCCAGUGAAGCAGGCCUGCCUCGUUUGUGGGUGGGUUGACGGUAGCUGGAUAAGAAGCGCCGGCUAACUACGUG